AGAACGAACGCUGGCGGCAGGCCUAACACAUGCAAGUCGAACGCUCGUAGCAAUACGGGAGUGGCAGACGGGUGAGUAACACGUGGGAACCUUCCCUAUGGUUCGGAAUAGCUCAGGGAAACUUGGGGUAAUACCGAAUAAGCCCUUCGGGGGAAAGAUUUAUCGCCAUUGGAUGGGCCCGCGUCGGAUUAGCUAGUUGGUGGGGUAACGGCCUACCAAGGCGACGAUCCGUAGCUGGUCUGAGAGGAUGAUCAGCCACACUGGGACUGAGACACGGCCCAGACUCCUACGGGAGGCAGCAGCGAGGGAUUUUCGGCAAUGGGCGCAAGCCUGACCGAGCAACGCCGCGUGCGGGACGACGCCCUUCGGGGUGUAAACCGCUUUUCGGUGGGACGAUGAUGACGGUACCACGGAUAAGCCUCGGCUAACUACGUGCCAGCAGCCGC
rnacentral:rRNA from 1 species